rnacentral:rRNA from 1 species
UACGUAGGGGGCAAGCGUUGUCUGGAUUCAUUGGGCGUAAAGAGCGUGUAGGCGGCCAGGUAGGUCGGUUGUGAAAACUGGAGGCUCAACCUUCAGACGUCGACCGAAACCAUCUGGCUAGAGUCCGGGAGAGGAGAGUGGAAUUCCUGGUGUAGCGGUGAAAUGCGCAGAUAUCAGGAAGAACACCCGUGGCGAAAGCGGCUCUCUGGAACGGUACUGACGCUGAGACGCGAAAGCGUGGGGAGCGAACAGG